AAAUUUUGGCAGUUUCAUGGAGAGACCAUUAUGAUGAAGGUGGUUCUCUCAGGUUGAGGCUACCCCUUUGCACUUUGCAGGCAUCAACAAAGCCAAUGUCCAUAAGUGCAAAAUACUUGACUGCAAAAUUUGUGGAAGUGAGGGACUGCGCUCAUGCUCAUUUUGG